CGCGGACGCCGCAGAGCAGUCGGGUAGGCUGUUUGGUGGUUUCAGCCAGCUGGAUUUAGGACCGCACGGCAAGGAUCAGAUGAUGACAGGUGUCACAGCAGGGUCAGAGCCAGGGAAGACCCGUCCACGGAGCAGAAUUGUGCAGUAUAUUACAACAAUGAGUGAAUGGAUACAAAGUUCCAUCUUGAGUUGAUGGGAUCAGAUGGUGACAGGGGUCUCAGCAGGGUCAGGCAACCAGGGAAGACCAGUCUGUGACGGCACUGAGGUGAACUUUUGCAGAUGCACACUCUCUGUGCAGCAAACACUGGACAAGUCAGAAGCUUCAAAGAUUGAAACUAUUUUAAGGCAGUCUGA